UCUCCAGACUCCUACGGGAGGCAGCAGUGGGGGAUAUUGCACAAUGGGGGAAACCCUGAUGCAGCGACGCCGCGUGGGCGAAGAAGUAUUUCGGUAUGUAAAGCCCUAUCAGCAGGGAAGAAGAAAUGACGGUACCUGAGUAAGAAGCACCGGCUAAAUACGUGCCAGCAGCCGCGGUAAUACGUAGGGGGCGAGCGUUAUCCGGAUUCACUGGGUGUAAAGGGAGCGUAGACGGCCAAGCAAGCCAGGGGUGAAAGCCCGGGGCCCAACCCCGGGACUGCCCUUGGAACUGCAUGGCUAGAGUGCGGGAGGGGCAGGCGGAAUUCCUGGUGUAGCGGUGAAAUGCGUAGAUAUCAGGAGGAACACCGGCGGCGAAGGCGGCCUGCUGGACCGCGACUGACGUUGAGGCUCGAAAGCGUGGGGAGCGAACAGGAUUAGAUACCCCUGUACAC
rnacentral:rRNA from 1 species